UACGGGGGGAGCAAGCGUUGUUCGGAUUUACUGGGCGUAAAGGGCGCGUAGGCGGCGCAACAAGUCACUUGUGAAAUCUCCGGGCUUAACCCGGAGCGGCCAAGUGAUACUGUCGUGCUAGAGUGCGGAAGGGGCUACUGGAAUUCUCGGUGUAGCGGUGAAAUGCGUAGAUAUCGAGAGGAACACCGGUGGCGAAGGCGGGUCUCUGGGCCGUAACUGACGCUGAGGAGCGAAAGCAUGGGGAGCGAACAGG
rnacentral:rRNA from 1 species